rnacentral:rRNA from 1 species
CAUCGCCUCUUGACAAAAUAUAAGAGGUCCAGCCUGCCCAGUGACCAUGUUCAACGGCCGCGGUAUCCUAACCGUGCGAAGGUAGCGUAAUCACUUGUUCUUUAAAUGAGGACUAGUAUGAAUGGCACCACGAAGGUUAUACUGUCUCCUUUUUCUGAUCAGUGAAACUAAUCUCCCCGUGAAGAAGCUGGGAUUUUUAUAUAAGACGAGAAGACCCUAUGGAGCUUUAAACAGAAAAACAAUUGCUACCACAAUUAUUAAUUUCAGAAAACUAAACUUUAUCCUAGCAUUAUGAUUUUCAGUUUUAGGUUGGGGUGACCGCGGAGUAAAAUAUAACCUCCGCAUUGAARCGGAUUCUAUCCUAAGCAAAAAGCUACGACUUUAAGCAUCAACAAAUUGACACCAAUUGACCCAAUAUUUUGAUCAACGAACCAAGUUACCCUAGGGAUAACAGCGCAAUCCACUUCAAGAGCUCCUAUCGACAAGUGGGUUUACGACCUCGAUGUUGGAUCAGGGUAUCCCAGUGGUGCAGCCGCUACUAAAGGUUCGUUUGUUCAACGAUUAAAACCCUACGUGAU